rnacentral:rRNA from 2 species
ACCCGCUGAACUUAAGCAUAUCAAUAAGCGGAGGAAAAGAAACCAACAGGGAUUGCCCCAGUAACGGCGAGUGAAGCGGCAACAGCUCAAAUUUGAAAUCUGGCCCCCAGGGUCCGAGUUGUAAUUUGCAGAGGAUGAUUUUGGCGAGGUGCCUUCCGAGUUCCCUGGAACGGGACGCCACAGAGGGUGAGAGCCCCGUCUGGUUGGACGCCGAGCCUAUGUAAAUCUCCUUCGACGAGUCGAGUAGUUUGGGAAUGCUGCUCUAAAUGGGAGGUAUAUGUCUUCUAAAGCUAAAUAUUGGCCAGAGACCGAUAGCGCACAAGUAGAGUGAUCGAAAGAUGAAAAGCACUUUGAAAAGAGGGUUAAAUAGUACGUGAAAUUGUUGAAAGGGAAGCGCUCAUGACCAGACUUGGGCCCGGUGAAUCAUCCAGCGCUCUCGCUGGUGCACUUUGCCGGGCUCAGGCCAGCAUCAGUUUGCCCCGGGGGAUAAAGGCUUUGGGAAUGUGGCUCCUCCGGGAGUGUUAUAGCCCAUUGCAUAAUAUCCUGGGGCGGACUGAGGUUCGCGCAUCUGCAAGGAUGCUGGCGUAAUGGUCAUCAGCGACCCGUCUUGAAACACGGACC